rfam:Basidiobolus meristosporus CBS 931.73 K493scaffold_521, whole genome shotgun sequence.
GGUUCCAUUGUGUAGUGGUUAUCACAUCUGCUUUACACGCAGAAGGUAGUGGGUUCGAUCCCCACUGGAACCA